rnacentral:SRP_RNA from 1 species
GCCAGGCGUGGUGGUGCAUGCCUAUAGUCCCAGCUUCUCUGGAGGCCGAGAUGGGAGGAUUGCUUGAGCCCAGGAGUCCGAGGUUGCAGUGAGCUGAGAUUGCGCCACUGCACUCCAGCCUGGGUGACAAAGUGAGACCCUGUCUCAC